CAAGUCGAACGCGAAAGUCCCCUUCGGGGGACAAGUAGAGUGGCGCACGGGUGAGUAACACGUAGGUAAUCUACCUUCGGGUGGGGAAUAACAACCGGAAACGGUUGCUAAUACCGCAUAAUGCAGCGGCACCUAAUGGUGACAGUUGUUAAAGCGGGGGAUCGCAAGAUCUCGCGCCUGAAGAGGAGCCUGCGGCGGAUUAGCUAGUUGGUAGGGUAAUGGCCUACCAAGGCGACGAUCCGUAGCCGGCCUGAGAGGGCGGUCGGCCACACUGACACUGACAUACGGGUCAGACUCCUACGGGAGGCAGCAGUCGGGAAUUUUGGGCAAUGGGCGAAAGCCUGACCCAGCAACGCCGCGUGAAGGAUGAAAUCCCUCGGGAUGUAAACUUCGCAAGAACAGGAAGAAUAAGUUUGUGCUAAUACCACAAGCGAUGACGGUACUGUUUGUAAGCUCCGGCUAACUCCGUGCCAGCAGCCGCGGUAAUACGGGGGGAGCAAGCGUUGUUCGGAUUUACUGGGCGUAAAGGGCGCGUAGGCGGCCGCCGCAAGUCAGUUGUGAAAUCUCCGAGCUUAACUCGGAAAGGUCAACUGAUACUGCGGGGCUAGAGUGCGGAAGGGGCAACUGGAAUUCUUGGUGUAGCGGUGAAAUGCGUAGAUAUCAAGAGGAACACCUGCGGCGAAGGCGGGUUGCUGGGCCGACACUGACGCUGAGGCGCGAAAGCUAGGGGAGCGAACGGGAUUAGAUACCCCGGUAGUCCUAGCCUUAAACGAUGAAUGCUUGGUGUCUGGGUUAUAUAGUCCCCGGGUGCCGUC
rnacentral:rRNA from 1 species